rnacentral:rRNA from 1 species
CGCUAGCUACAGGCUUAACACAUGCAAGUCGAGGGGCAGCAUGGUCUUAGCUUGCUAAGGCUGAUGGCGACCGGCGCACGGGUGAGUAACACGUAUCCAACCUGCCGUCUACUCUUGGCCAGCCUUCUGAAAGGAAGAUUAAUCCAGGGUGGGAUCAUGAGUUCACAUGUCCGCAUGAUUAAAGGUAUUUUCCGGUAGACGAUGGGGAUGCGUUCCAUUAGAUAGUAGGCGGGGUAACGGCCCACCUAGUCAACGAUGGAUAGGGGUUCUGAGAGGAAGGUCCCCCACAUUGGAACUGAGACACGGUCCAAACUCCUACGGGAGGCAGCAGUGAGGAAUAUUGGUCAAUGGGCGAUGGCCUGAACCGGCCAAGUAGCGUGAAGGAUGACGG